GACGAACGCUGGCGGCGUGCUUAACACAUGCAAGUCGGACGAAGAGCGAUGGAAGCUUGCUUCUAUCAAUCUUAGUGGCGAACGGGUGAGUAACGCGUAAUCAACCUGCCCUUCAGAGGGGGACAACAGUUGGAAACGACUGCUAAUACCGCAUACGAUCUAAUCUCGGCAUCGAGGAUAGAUGAAAGGUGGCCUCUACAUGUAAGCUAUCACUGAAGGAGGGGAUUGUGUCUGAUUAGCUAGUUGGAGGGGUAACGGCCCACCAAGGCGAUGAUCAGUAGCCGGUCUGAGAGGAUGAACGGCCACAUUGGGACUGAGACACGGCCCAGACUCCUACGGGAGGCAGCAGUGGGGAAUCUUCCGCAAUGGACGAAAGUCUGACGGAGCAACGCCGCGUGAGUGAUGACGGCCUUCGGGUUGUAAAGCUCUGUUAAUCGGGACGAAAGGCCUUCUUGCGAAUAGUGAGAAGGAUUGACGGUACCGGAAGAGAAAGCCACGGCUAACUACGUG
rnacentral:rRNA from 1 species